CGCGAGCCGCCGGCCGCCAGCCGUCACCUGUCGCGGGCAGCGAGCGAACGCAGCCGCCGGCUGGAGGACCUCUAGCGGAGUGCCGGCCGCACGCGCCCGAACAGCCGGUUCAAGUUUCACUUGCUACUAAAAACCAUUGCUAGAUUAUUCCACAGAUGCUCAGUCAUUCUGAGAGAAGGACACCAGUGUGGAAUGAAAAACCUAGUUCUCAAGAAGAAAAAGAAAAUAAGAGGACAAGAAAGAAAAGAGUACCACAGUGUGAGAAUUGAGGGAACAAGGAAGAAACAAGAGGACCUAAAGGAUACAAUAAAAAUACCCAUUAUUGUAUGUCAAAAAAAAUAAAAAAAGAAACAAUAAACAGACACCUGUUUACACCAACUAUCUUACCUGAAGACUCCUUGUUUGAACAGGUCCUGCUGAACACCUGCUUUCCUUCUGGAAUUUUGGUACAUGCCACGAAGAGGGAACCUAAAUGACUGAGCCUUGAGAAAAACCCUGGACUUCUGUGCUCAAGUGAAUUGCACUAAUGGAUACAACUUGGCAAAUUUGUCACACUGCUGGAGGAAGCCAACACAGAAUGUGAGAGAGUGGAAGGGAGGAAAGAAGUUGGAAAAAGAGAAAGAAACAUCCAC